GUUAGGAAUGGGCGUAGUCAGCGCCCUGGGGGCGGGGCCUGGGGCAGGAGGCGUAGGCUGCGUUUUCAAAAGAGGAGCGUCGGAGACCCUGGUAGGCGGAGGUGGCUUCUGAUUGGUGGAGCGCGAAGGUGAGGUGUCACGUGGGCAGUGGGCGGGGGAAGUUCCGAAUGGGAAGUGGGGAGUGCUCUGUUGUGGGCUGGCGGGGCUGAGCUUGGCCCGAGCGGAUUGCAGGGAAGCAGCGUCCUGAAAAAUAUAUAUGAAAAACACUUCUAUAUUGGUAGACCAUUCUUCCGUGCCACGUGGUGAUCCCUGACUUCCAAAUAGAAGAUGACCUUACAAGAUACUAUCUUUUUGUGCAAGCAGGCCACCUUCCCAGCAGAGCAAGCACACUGCAGUAAAACACACUAGAUCUUGCAUGCCUGACAGUUGUUAUUCCUACUCCUGCUGACAGUAUCCUGACACAGGGAAACGGUGGCCCCAGAUCCAUUAUCCAGAGGAGGACAUGCAGUCUGACAGGUCAGGCCAGGCAGCUGGGUGGGCCAGCCCCUCCUCUAAGUCCCAGUGUGUAAAAAAGCACCAUAAGGUACGAAGAGCCUAUAAAAGGGAACAACAGCCUCUUUUUGGCCAUGAGUUUCUAGGUAUCCAGGAAACCAAGCCACUGUAAUCAGUGCUGCAGACUCCUAUGUUUGAUUGUAAAGAUAUUGGUUAUUAAAUCAGCUUCCAGCCUACCAGUUCAAUUAGAAUUUUAUGGUUUUGAACAGACCAAGACCAUGGUAAGGGAAGUUCUAUGCUUUUCAGAUUAGAAGACAGAUGAAAUAGAGUCCCAACGCCUUGAUGAAGGGACUAGGUCUUCUUUGUCUCCUAAUAACUAUUUCAGGUCAAUAGAUGUGGAGUUGUUUAGCUGCCUACUAACGGCACGUUUACAUGGAAUUGUAAGACGCCAUGUUAUCAAAGGGAAAUCAGAAUAGACUGACCAUAAGCACCAAAACUUGACCAUACACCUUUCCUGUUUACCUUUCCUUCUUACGUCCUGAGACAAGAAGUGUACGACACCUAUAAGCAGACAAAAUGAAGUUACAGCUUGAACUAAAGAAAAAUCCACAUGCCUAAUCACUUCAUAAAAAACACAUCCCCAUUGUCCAACACACUUUCAUGCUAAAUAUCAUCUGGUGGACAAUUCUAGAAACUUUGUCAUUGAUUUAGACAGUGUUCUGUUUAUUCCACUAAGUGAAUCUUUUGUGAAUAAAAAUAUGUAUAUAUUAUUUUGGCAGAAUAUAAAUUCUCAAUUAAAAAUUAUUGGCAUUGCAUUCAUAUGA